AUCCGCCUUCCGCCCCAGUGACUGCAACCCGACGACCGUCUGCACCCAUCUCCCCAAGCUCCACUUCCAAAGAACCAGAUAGCAGGUGGACGGACAGGAAGUGCUGUAGACAUAGGUUAUGAGUCAUCCUCAAUGCCAGUUCGACAAUUGUUGAUUAUGUCACUCUACACGGAAUAAUGACGCUUGUUUGGAGACCGACAACUCAGAUGAUUGGCCACGUCGCAUCUUCCAUACGUUUUUGUGCAUCUUGCAGUUUUUCCACAUGAGCAUUGAGGGUGGCAGUUAGGGGGCGGAGCAUGCUGUCCAAGCUUGGCAGGAGGACAAGUUGGAGCGAACUGACAAGAG